AACGAACGCUGGCGGCAUGCCUAACACAUGCAAGUCGAACGAGACCUUCGGGUCUAGUGGCGCACGUGUGCGUAACGCGUUGGAACCUGCCCUUAGGUUCGGAAUAACUCCCCGAAAGGGGUGCUAAUACCGGAUAAUGUCUUCGGACCAAAGAUUUAUCGCCUUUGGAUGGGCCCGCGUUGGAUUAGCUAGUUGGUAGGGUAAAAGCCUACCAAGGCGACGAUCCAUAGAUGGUCUGAGAGGAUGAUCAGCCACACUGGGACUGAGAAACGGCCCAGACUACUACGGGAGGGAGCAGUGGGGAAUAUUGGAAAAUGGGCGAAAGCCUGAUCAAGCAAUGACGCGUGAGUGAUGAAGGGCUUAGGGUUGUAAAGCUCUUUUAACCGGGAGGAUAAUGACAGUACCGGGAGAAUAAGCACCGGCUAACUCCGUG
rnacentral:rRNA from 1 species